rnacentral:rRNA from 1 species
GUGGGGAAUUUUGGACAAUGGGCGCAAGCCUGAUCCAGCAAUGCCGCGUGCAGGAAGAAGGCCUUCGGGUUGUAAACUGCUUUUGUACGGAACGAAACGGUCCGGGUUAAUACCCUGGGCUAAUGACGGUACCGUAAGAAUAAGCACCGGCUAACUACGUGCCAGCAGCCGCGGUAAUACGUAGGGUGCAAGCGUUAAUCGGAAUUACUGGGCGUAAAGCGUGCGCAGGCGGUUUUGUAAGACAGGCGUGAAAUCCCCGGGCUCAACCUGGGAAUUGCGCUUGUGACUGCAAGGCUGGAGUGCGGCAGAGGGGGAUGGAAUUCCGCGUGUAGCAGUGAAAUGCGUAGAUAUGCGGAGGAACACCGAUGGCGAAGGCAAUCCCCUGGGCCUGCACUGACGCUCAUGCACGAAAGCGUGGGGAGCAAACAGGAUUAGAAACCCCGGUAGCC